rnacentral:rRNA from 1 species
CCUACGGGAGGCAGCAGUGGGGAAUAUUGCACAAUGGGGGCAACCCUGAUGCAGCGACGCCGCGUGAGUGAUGAAGUCUUUCUGUGUGUAAAGCUCUAUUAGUAGGGAAGAAAAUGACGGUAUCUGAUUAAUAAGCCCCGUCUAACUACGUGCCAGCAGCCGCGGUAAUACGUAGGGAGCAAGCGUUAUCCGGAUUUACUGGGUGUUAAGGGAGCGUAGACGGGAGCACAGGUCAGUAGUGAAAUUGUGGGGCUUAACCACAGAACUGCAUUGGACACAGGGAACCUAGAGUUCAGGAGAGGUAGGUGGAAUUCGUGGUGUAGCGGUGAAAUGCGUAGAUAUUAGGAGGAACACCGAUGGCGAAGGCAGCCUGCUGGACUGUAACUGACGUUGAGGCUCGAAAGCGUGGGGAGCAAACAGGAUUAGAUACCCUUGUAGUC